ACUGUGAAGCCGUGUUCGGACCCCGAAACGAGUAAGGACCCCUCACCCUAUUUCCUAUCACGGUUUUAAAGUUCAAUAAAUGAUAAGACGGUAUUUCAUGAAUCAAUGAAUGUGUGAAAUUGCUUAAGGUUGCUAAUGGAGCCCGAGUCUAGUGUGUUUGUCGGUUAACUGUUAUUUGGCCUGUUUUACAGUUUUAAAUGCAGCAUGAGGUUUGAUGUUUUCAUUUUAUAGUUUCGUGUGCAUAUUC
rnacentral:lncRNA from 1 species